UGGAUACACUACCUGCGUGAGCGGAACGAAAACAACAACACCUAAAAUGUGGAAUAUAGCAUAUAGUCGACAAGAGAAAUCUACGAAAAACAAACAAAACUUUCAACAACGGAUCUCUUGGUUCUCGCAUCGAUGAAGAGCGCAGCGAAAUGCGAUACCUAGUGUGAAUUGCAGCCAUCGUGAAUCAUCGAGUUCUUGAACGCACAUUGCGCCCCUCGGCAUUCCGGGGGGCAUGCCUGUUUGAGCGUCGUUUCCAUCUUGCGCGUGCGCAGAGUUGGGGGAGCGGAGCGGACGACGUGUAAAGAGCGUCGGAGCUGCGACUCGCCUGAAAGGGAGCGAAGCUGGCCGAGCGAACUAGACUUUUUUCAGGGACGCUUGGCGGCCGAGAGCGAGUGUUGCGAGACAACAAAAAGCUCGACCUCAAAUCAGGUAGGAAUACCCGCUGAACUUAAGCAUA
rnacentral:rRNA from 1 species